GCUGACGGUCAAAACGGACAGGAAACACCCGUUCCCAUCUCGAACACGGAAGUUAAGAUGUCCGGUGAUGUAGGUUGUACUUUGCGAGAGCAUGGGAACUCUACAACGCUGUCAGCC
rnacentral:rRNA from 1 species